AUUGAACGCUGGCGGCAGGCUUAACACAUGCAAGUCGAGCGGGGGAAGGUAGCUUGCUACCGGACCUAGCGGCGGACGGGUGAGUAAUGCUUAGGAAUCUGCCUAUUAGUGGGGGACAACAUCUCGAAAGGGAUGCUAAUACCGCAUACGUCCUACGGGAGAAAGCAGGGGAUCUUCGGACCUUGCGCUAAUAGAUGAGCCUAAGUCGGAUUAGCUAGUUGGUGGGGUAAAGGCCUACCAAGGCGACGAUCUGUAGCGGGUCUGAGAGGAUGAGCAGCCACACUGGGACUGAGACACGGACCAGACUCCUACGGGAGGCAGCAGUGGGGAAUAUUGGACAAUGGGGGUAACCCUGAUCCAGCCAUGCCGCGUGUGUGAAGAAGGCCUUAUGGUCGUAAAGCACUUUAAGCUAGGAGGAGGCUACUUUAGUGAAUACCUAGAGAUAGUGGACGUUACUCGCAGAAUAAGCACCGGCUAACUCUGUGCCAGCCGCCGCAGUAAAAC
rnacentral:rRNA from 1 species